rnacentral:rRNA from 1 species
UACGUAGGAGGCGAGCGUUGUCCGGAAUUACUGGGCGUAAAGAGCGCGUAGGCGGCACGGUACGACCGGUGUGAAAGCCCCCGGCUCAACUGGGGAGGGUCACCGGUAACGGCCGAGCUAUGAGUGCAGGAGAGGGAAGUGGAACUCCGGGAGUAGCGGUGAAAUGCGUAGAGACCCGGAGGAACACCAGUGGCGAAGGCGGCUUCCUGGUCUGCAACUGACGCUGUGGCGCGAAAGCUAGGGAGCAAACGGG